rnacentral:rRNA from 1 species
GACGAACGCUGGCGGCGUGCUUAACACAUGCAAGUCGAACGGAAAGGCCCUGCUUGCCGGGUACUCGAGUGGCGAACGGGUGAGUAACACGUGGGUGAUCUGCCCUGCACUUCGGGAUAAGCCUGGGAAACUGGGUCUAAUACCGGAUAGGAGCCAUUUUUAGUGUGAUGGUUGGAAAGUUUUUUCGGUGUAGGAUGAGCUCGCGGCCUAUCAGCUUGUUGGUGGGGUAAUGGCCUACCAAGGCGGCGACGGGUAGCCGGCCUGAGAGGGUGGACGGCCACAUUGGGACUGAGAUACGGCCCAGACUCCUACGGGAGGCAGCAGUGGGGAAUAUUGCACAAUGGGCGCAAGCCUGAUGCAGCGACGCCGCGUGGGGGAUGACGGCCUUCGGGUUGUAAACUCCUUUCGCUAGGGACGAAGCGUUUUGUGACGGUACCUAGAUAAGAAGCACCGGCUAACUACGUGC